GACGGAGGGUGCUAGCGUUGUUCGGAAUGACUGGGCGUAAAGGGCGCGUAGGCGGCUCGUGAAGUCGGGUGUGAAAGCCCGGGGCUCAACCCCGGAACGGCAUCCGAUACUGGCGGGCUUGAGACCGGGAGAGGAGGGUGAAAUACCCAGUGUAGAGGUGAAAUUCGUAGAUAUUGGGUGGAACACCGGUGGCGAAAGCGGCUCUCUGGCCCGGAUCUGACGCUGAGGCGCGAAAGCGUGGGGAGCAAACAGGG
rnacentral:rRNA from 1 species